rnacentral:rRNA from 1 species
UACGUAGGCAGCGAGCGUUGUUCGGAAUUACUGGGCGUAAAGGGUGUGUAGGCGGUUUUCUAAGUUCGGUGUGAAAUCUCCCGGCUCAACCGGGAGGGUGCGCCGAAAACUGGGAGGCUAGAGUGCGGGAUGGGAAAGUGGAAUUCCUGGUGUAGCGGUGAAAUGCGUAGAUAUCAGGAGGAACACCGGUGGUGUAAACGGCUUUCUGGACCGUAACUGACGCUGAGACACGAAAGCGUGGGUAGCAAAC